ACACCCGUGCACUGAAGAAACACCGGUGAAGGCGUGAUCCAUCCCAGCGGCACAGGCAAAUAUGAAGUUCUUCUGGCUAAUCCCAUUUUUCCUGCUGCAAGACGCUGCAGCUUUUCUGAUGAAAAAUGCUAAAUUCAAGCUGUGUUUACGAGCCAGCGUGGUAGGUGAGAGUUUGCUGCUGGAGGACUGUGAUCCAGAGUCAGUUUUCCAGGACUGGUCUUGGCAAGGAGAUUCUCUGCUGAAUCGUGGCACUCAGAGCUGCCUCUCCCUGGUGGGGUCCAACGGGGUGCAGAUGGGUCUCUGCGACAGAACGAGCUACAUGAGCUGGGACUGCUCGAAUUCGCUGCUCUCUCCUCUGGGUGGCAGCCAGAGCUACCUGGUGGCCAACAAGAAAGAUAAAUAAAUUCUAUGGAUGUGCUGAGAAGUGCGGGUUAGGGAAAGUUCAGCUACAAGCCCAGGAGCCCAGAGAGAAGCUGGACUGGAGGCAGUUUGCCUCUUGAAUGCCUUUUGCCCUACGCUGCUCUCCCAGUUCCAGGCCUGGGUGUCAUUCCUGUCUGCCCUAUACACUCUGUGUGUGUGUGUGUCCUGUGCUUGGGGGGUGGCCACGCUCAUACGGUGCUUUCUUUGCAGACGCUGCAGCUUUUCUGAUGAAAAAUGCUAAAUUCAAGCUGUGUUUACGAGCCAGCGUGGUAGGUGAGAGUUUGCUGCUGGAGGACUGUGAUCCAGAGUCAGUUUUCCAGGACUGGUCUUGGCAAGGAGAUUCUCUGCUGAAUCGUGGCACUCAGAGCUGCCUCUCCCUGGUGGGGUCCAACGGGGUGCAGAUGGGUCUCUGCGACAGAACGAGCUACAUGAGCUGGGACUGCUCGAAUUCGCUGCUCUCUCCUCUGGGUGGCAGCCAGAGCUACCUGGUGGCCAACAAGAAAGGAGUCACCCUCAGUAACGUGAGGAACCUCAAGGCCCAAUGGCAAGAUGCGGCAGACAGGAGCGUCUGCGAGGUGAAAGCAGCUGAGGCAGAGCCAGACAGGUACUUCACCGCAGCGCUUGUCAGCACACACACCUAUGACCCCAUAGCAGGGAACAUCACCCUUGCGCUGGGUAUGGAUGGAGCAGAGCUGGAGGAGCUGCUCUGGUUCUUCCGCAGAGAAGACCCCUCGACGUGGAAUUACUCCGUCCUUGCGCUUUCCUUCGUGGCCAUGAUUUUGGGUCUCGUCCUCCUGGCCCUUAACAUUGUGCGAAACAGGAAAAGGAAGAUCCACGCCUACGGAGGAGCAGAGCAAAUGGUCCAGCAGGAUGAGCUGGAAGCCAAGCAAGCCCUGAUGCCCGUGCAGGAGUACAGCCCAGCCCAACUGCAAAAGCAGGAGCCGGUGCCCCAGGAUCAUAGAUCAGGAGACGUGAUGGUCCAGUGGAAGGACGGGACCGUCACCUCCCUGUACACAGCGAGGUCUGAGGACGCCGUGUAACGGCAGCUGACGUCAAACCAUUUAGGCCUUAAGGAAUGUGUCAGAACGUCUCAAUUCGGAGUGAUGGAAGUUUAAAAAUGCAGUUUAGCCUGGGGAAAAAAAGAGAGAGAAUAAAAAGAAAGCAGCAGAGCUGCA
rnacentral:lncRNA from 1 species